rnacentral:rRNA from 1 species
CUACGGGUGGCUGCAGUGGGGAAUAUUCCACAAUGGAGGAAACUCUGAUGCAGCAACGCCGCGUGGAGGAUGACACUUUUCGGAGCGUAAACUCCUUUUAUAUAGGAAGAAGAUGACGGUACUAUAUGAAUAAGCGCCGGCUAACUCCGUGCCAGCAGCCGCGGGUAAUACGGAGGGCGCAAGCGUUACUCGGAAUCACUGGGCGUAAAGAGCGUGUAGGCGGAUUAAAAAGUCAGAAGUGAAAUCCUAUAGCUUAACUAUAGAACUGCUUCUGAAACUCUUAAUCUAGAAUAUGGGAGAGGUAGAUGGAAUUUCUGGUGUAGGGGUAAAAUCCGUAGAGAUCAGAAGGAAUACCGAUUGCGAAGGCGAUCUACUAGAACAUUAUUGACGCUGAGACGCGAAAGCGUGGGGAGCAAACAGGAUUAGAUACCCGAGUAGUC